CCUACGGGUGGCAGCAGUGAGGAAUAUUGGUCAAUGGGCGUAAGCCUGAACCAGCCAAGUCGCGUGAAGGAUGAAGGUUCUAUGGAUUGUAAACCUCUUUUAUAAGGGAAUAAAGUGCGGGACGUGUCCCUUUUUGCAUGUACUUUAUGAAUAAGGAUCGGCUAACUCCGUGCCAGCAGCCGCGGUAAUACGGAGGAUCCGAGCGUUAUCCGGAUUUAUUGGGUUUAAAGGGUGCGUAGGUGGGCUUUUAAGUCAGCGGUGAAAGUCUGUGGCUCAACCGUAAAAUUGCCGUUGAUACUGGGAGUCUUGAGUAUGUUUGAGGCAGGCGGAAUGCGUGGUGUAGCGGUGAAAUGCUUAGAUAUCACGCAGAACCCCGAUUGCGAAGGCAGCCUGCCAAGCCAUGACUGACGCUGAUGCUCGAAAGCGUGGGUAUCAAACAGGAUUAGAUACCCCUGUAGUC
rnacentral:rRNA from 1 species